rnacentral:lncRNA from 1 species
CGCCAUUCGACCUUCCACGCGCCUCCGGCCUUUAAAACCUGAAAAUAUUUAGUAUGGGAUGAGCAUACAGGGUACACUCAGUGUGGGAACAUGCAAUCAUUGUCCACAUUAAUAAAAUGAGAAUCUCAUAUGAUCAAUACAUUCGUGACUGAAAGUCGCACGGUGGCAUACCAAGGACCUUUCCGUCCUGGACCGAUUGAGCCGGCCCCUGGCGACUGGUUGCAACCAUAACUGUAACAUGAAAUCGCAUUGUGGCAUACCAAGGACUUUAAUGUCCUGGACCCAUUGAGCGGGCCCCUAGCGAUAUAAUUUAAUGCAACUCACAUAUGGUAAACACAUAAUAUUAAAAUGGACAAGAUUAACCACAGCAUGUACUGAAAUAAAUCCCCACACCUGAAUUUUGAACUUCAACUUUAACUUGAAAGCUAAUUCUGAUAAUUCAAAGUAAAAUCCAU